UAGGAUUCAUUUACACAAAGAAAGGCUUAACGUAGGCUCAAAUGGGAUGACUAGGGAUGAAUACAUGUAGAGGGAUGGUUAGAAAGGCUCAAACGGUUCAAACAUGGCCUAAAUCACUUCCUAAGCAUUGUAUGGCAACAAAAUGUCUCAAGAAAUAUUCAAAUAAGUUCUAGAGUACGAAACCAAGAUCAUGAGAUAACUAGAAUUGCAUAACGUCUCUAAGUAGCAAGAUGUUGGACUAACUUGGCAAAGUGCUCAAUAAGUGCAAGGAUGGCAUGCAGGACAAAGUUAACUUAGAAUCACACGCAGACCUUAAACAAUGACUAUCAAUUUCUGAAAAACCAUAAUAGUAUUAAAUCUAAGUCUUUAUCAUAGGUGUUUGGAAGGAUAACGAAACAACACACAAAAUCCUGCGUUUUUAGACAGUAGACACACUCAAAAAUUUUAAAAUUUGACAAUUUGAAACAGCAUAACUAAAUCCUUCCCCCCAAACUUAAAUGAAACAUUGUCCUCAAUGUUUAGAGUGUAAGAAAAAGCAAUGCCUCAUUAAUGAAAGGAAAGAAGACAAGGGAAAGACAUAACCAAAGGUUAGAUUUCAGAAAAACUCCCCUUUGAAGCGAUUAGGAUGCAAGCAAGCUUCCUCGCAUAUUCUAUCUUCUCCUCAUCACCUUGGGUUGCCUCCCAAGAAGCGCUAAGUUUCACGUCGUCAGCCGGACGUCCAAACUCUGGUGAGCUUUAAGAGAGUGGUGGAGGCUCCUUGAGUGCUUGAGACUCAAUAUUGGCAUCAAAGUUGGCAUCGAAGUAAGGUUUCAACCGAUGUCCAUUCACCUUGAAGGUGCUGCCAUCCUUAAUGUUUUGAAUCUCCACUGCGCCAUGAUUAAACACAUUAGUAAUAACAAAAGGGCCAAUCCACCGAGAACAAAGCUUACCUGGGAAGAGCUUAAGGCGUGAAUUGAAUAAGAGAACCUUCUGCCCUUUCUCAAACGUCUUCCUAAGAAUUUUCUUGUCGUGAUAUUGCUUUGUUUUCUCCUUGUAAAGCUUCGCAUUCUUAUACGCUUCAUGUCUCAACUCCUCCAGCUCAUUGAGUUGAAGCCUCCUCUUCUCACCAGCGGCUUUCAUAUCAAAAUUGAAGGCCUUGAUUGCCCAAUAAGCCCUGUGCUCAAGCUCCACUGGUAAGUGACAAGGUUUACCGAAAAUAAGUCUAUACGGAGACAUACCUAUAGGGGUCUUAUAAGCAGUCCUAUAAGCCCACAAUGCAUCAUCCAAACGCAUGGACCAAUCCUUCCUUGUGGUGUUCACUGUCUUUUCAAGUAUGUACUUAAUCUCCCUAUUGCUUAUAUCAACCUGCCCACUAGUUUGAGGAUGAUAGGGUGUUGCCACCUUAUGCGUGAUUCCAUAUCUCUUCAAGAGUGCUGCAAAAGCUUGGUUAACAAAGUGGGAGCCACCAUCACUAAUGAUUGCUCUAGGUGUGCCAAACCUUGUAAAAAUAUUUCCUUUGAGAAAACCGAUCACAACUUUAGCAUCAUUAGUUCUAGUGGCAAUGGCUUCCACCCAUUUAGAAACAUAAUCGACAGAAACUAAUAUAUAUUCAAAUCCAUAAGAGGUAGGAAAAGGGCCCAUGAAAUCAAUUCCCCAAACAUCAAAUAUAUCAAUGAUUAAGAUAUUGGUGAGAGGCAUCUGGUUUCUAGCAUGUAAAUUACCCAUCCGUUGGCAUCUAUCACAUGAAGCACAAAAAACAUAAGCAUCCUUAAAAAGGGUAGGCCAAAAGAAACCUGAUUGUAGCACCUUGCUGGCAGUCUUCUUUGCUCCAAAAUGGCCUCCGCAUGCGUGGGAGUGACAAAACUCCAGAAUGCUCUUAAAAUCACCUUCAGGCACACACCUUCGAAUUACUUGGUCUGGACAAUGCUUGAAUAGAUAGGGAUCAUCCCAAAAGUAGUAUCUUGCUUGCUUCCUAAGCUUGUCACGUUGGAACGUAGAUAACCCUGUAGGGAGUUCGUUAGUGCACAAAUAGUUAACAAUAUCAGCAAACCAAGGCAAUGGAUUGAGAGAAUUCAAAGCACAAAUGGAGAAGAGUUGCUCAUCAGGGAAGCUUUCACGCAAUGGCAAUGAAUCCUCCUCUUCGUUAGAUACAUGCACCAAUCUACUCAAGUGAUCAGCCACGACAUUCUCACUUCCUUUCUUAUCUUUUAUCUCCAAGUCAAACUCUUGCAACAAGAGAAUCCAUCUAAUGAGUCGCGGUUUGGCAUCCUUCUUAGCUAACAAGUAUUUCAAUGCUGCAUGAUCAGUGUAAACAAUAACCUUGUUAGUAAUCAAAUAUGAUCUAAACUUCUCUAAAGCAAAUAUGACGGCUAACAACUCCUUCUCUGUGGUGGAAUAGUUGAGUUGGGCAUCGUUGAGGGUUCUACUAGCAUAGUAGAUGGCAUGUGGCUUCUUAUCAACUCGCUGUCCCAAAACAGCUCCAACAACAUAAUCUGAGGCAUCACACAUCAAUUCAAAGGGCAAGCUCCAAUCCGGUGGUAUAAUGACUGGGGCAGUUGUGAGCAUCUUCUUCAAAGCAUUGAAAGCAUUCUCACAGUCUUGAUCAAACACAAAAUCCAUGUCCUUGGCAAGGAGAUUGCACAUAGGCCUUGCAAUCUUAGAAAAAUCCUUAAUGAAACGCCUAUAGAAACCUGCAUGGCCAAGGAAAGAACGUACUUCUUUGACAGAAGUAGGUGAGGGCAUAGAGGCAAUCAAAUCAAUCUUAGCUUUAUCUACCUCAAUUCCUUUACUAGAGAUGACAUGACCAAGAACUAUGCCUUGGUUAACAAUAAAAUGACAUUUUUCCCAAUUAAGCACAAGGUUAGUAUGUUCACAUCUAGCCAACACCUUGGAUAAGUUAUGCAAGCAUUGAUCAAAAGAAUCACCAAAGACAGAGAAGUCAUCCAUGAAUACCUCAAUGAACCUUUCUACCAUGUCGGAGAAAAUGCUCAUCAUGCACCUUUGAAAAGUGGCUGGGGCGUUACAGAGACCAAAAGGCAUCCUCCUAUAGGCGAAAGUGCCAAAGGGACAUGUGAACGUGGUCGAUCCGCAGGCCGUGCAGCUAUGGCGAUUUGGUUGUAGCCUGAAUAUCCAUCAAGGAAGCAAUAGUGGCUAUGCCCAGCUAAUCUCUCAAGCAUUUGAUCAAUGAAUGGAAGAGGAAAGUGAUCUUUGCUUGUUGCUGUGUUGAGCUUCCUAUAAUCAAUGCAAACUCUCCAGCCCGUGGUCAUCCGUGUAGGUACAAGCUCGUUUGCUUCAUUCUUCACCACUGUGAUACCUGACUUCUUGGGGACAACUUGCACUGGGCUCACCCAUUGACUGUCAGAAAUAGGGUAAAUAAUACCAACAUUUAAAAGCUUCAUUACCUCUUUUCUUACCACCUCCUUCAUGUUUGGAUUGAGACGUCUUUGGGCAUCCCUCUUAGGCAUUGCAUUGUCUUCCAAUAAUAUCUUGUGCAUGCACAGUGUUGGGCUUAUGCCUUUGAUAUUUGCAAUGCUCCACCCAAUCGCAGUUUUGUGCUCUUUUAGAACUCUCAAAAGCUUCUUUUCAUCAUUUGGUCCGAGAUGUGAGGCAAUGAUAACAGGUAGAGUCUCAUUUUCACCUAAAUAAGCAUAUUUAAGGUGUUUUGGCAAUUGCUUUAAUUCCAACUCUGGUGCCUGCACAAUAGAAGGUAAAACCUUAUUAGUAGGUGGGGGUAAUGAUUCAAAUUGGUUUGCAUACCUCUUUCCAAUUUCUAUGUAGCUAUCCAUGCUGCAAACAAGCUCAAGAAGUAAAAAGAUCACAGCCUCAAAGCUGUCCACUUCUUCUUUCCUUAUGCUUUGUGUGAUGCAUGCUUCAAUGGGCUCCAAAUAACUCAUUGGCAGUGCUUCUUUCACCAUAGUAUCAAUUGCAUCAAGAUGGAAAACUUCAUGCUCAUCACUUGGAAACUUGGAGGCUUCAAACACUUUGAAUGCUAUUGUCUCAUCAAACACAUUCAUGGUCAAUGUACCCUUCUUCACAUCAAUAAUAGCACCGGCAGUUGCCAUGAAUGGCCGACCUAGAAUGAGUGGUAACUGAUUGUCAUGAAUUGGUGCUUCUUCCAUCUCCAACACCAAGAAAUCUGCUGGCAAAAUUAGCUCUUCCACUUUCACCAAAACAUCUUCUAGAAUGCCCUUAGGGUACCUAAUAGUUCUAUCUGCCAAUUGAAUGCUCACAGAUGUGGCUUGCAACUCACCAAGGUUAAGUUUCUCAUAAACAUGAUAUGGCAUAAGAUUUAUAGAAGCACCAAGAUCAAGCAAAGCUUUUUGAAACUUAAAAUCACCAACUAUGCAAGGUAUAGAAAACGAACCUGGAUCCUUUAGCUUUGGAGGCAGGUUUCUUUGUAACACUGCACUUACCUCUUCACUCAAUGCAACUUGUUCAUGCUCUUUGAAUCUCCUCUUGUUAGUGCAUAGAUCCUUCAAAAAAUUUGCAUACUUUGGAAUCUGAGUAAUGGCAUUGAGCAAUGGGAUGUUGAUUUGCACCUUCUUGAAUGUUUCCAUUAUCUCAUCCAAGCCUUGAUCUUUCUUUGACUUUGAUAACCUGCUGGGAAAGGGUGCAAUAGGCCUAAAAGCAUUAGUUGAAAUUGGAACUUGAUUAGCAUUAGAUGAUACCUUAGGGCCUGUGCUCUUUCCAGGAGCAUUGAUGGACUGAUUGUUGGAAGCUGUGGGCUGCCCAUGUGGUGGCUGAAUGAUCUCCACGUUUUCUCCAUCUUCUUGUUCUUCAUUGGCAUCUCCAACCUUAUUAUCAACUUGUUUACCACUUCUCAAGAUGUGUACUGCUUUAGCAUGCUCUUGAUGCCUUGGAUUCACCUCCGUUUGGCUUGGGAAAGUUCCGGAUGCUCUAUUGCUCAUGGAGGAUGCAAUCUGCCCAACUUGCACUUCUAGUUUGUUCACUGCAUUUUGAAGAUUCUGAUUGGUUUGCAUCUGUUGCCCCAUGAACUUCUUGAACAUGUCUUGCAAUUCUCCCAUUUGAUCACCCCUUUGCUCUUGCACUUGUUGCGGAGCUUGUUGGAAUUGCCUUUGUUGUGUUUGGAAUCCUGGGGGAGGUCCUUGAGAUUGUUGCACAUUUGAAUUGUUGCUCCACCUGAAAUUAGGAUGAUUUCUCCACCCCGGAUUGUAUGUGUUUGAGUAAGGAUCAUUAUUAGGAUUCCUUGCUUGAAGGGAAUUUGCUUGUUCUAGCAUGUGCUCCGCAAAAGAUUGGUCUACAAACUUCCACUUUGUUUCCUAGAGGGCCAGUCACUGCCUGUUGAAGCAAAGAACACAUAACAUCAAGUUUUGCAGCAAUUUCAUUAUUAGUACUUACCUCAGAGACCACAGCUUUCAUAGGAGCUCCUCUUCCUUUAUUGUGGCUCCAUUGUUGAGAGUUAGCACUCAAGGAUUCAAAGAGAGUAAAAGCCUCAUCUGCUGUUUUGUUCAUCAGUCCUUCUCCACUUGUUGAAUCUACCAUCAUCCUUUCGGAAUCAAGUAAACCUUCAUAGAAAGAUUGCAUUUGCAUCCAACUCUCUAUGUUGUGGUGUGGGCAAGAACUUAUCAUCUCCUUGUACCUCUCCCAACAUUCAUGAAAAGCUUCUCCUUCCUUUUGUGUGAAACCAAGAAUUUCCUUUCUAAUCUUGUUAGUCUUUUGAGCCGGAAAAAAUUUCUGCAAAAACUUAUUAGAAAGCUCUUCCCAAGUAUGAAUUGAAGCAUUAGGAAAAGAGUAUAACCAAGACUUAGCUUUAUCUUUUAAACUGAAUGGGAAUAGCCUCAUCUUAAUCUGCUCAUCAUCAAGGUUUUGAAUUUUGAUCGUAGCACAUAUUUCAAAGAAUUGCUUAAUAUGCAUGUAAGGAUCCUCAGUGGUAUUACCAUAAUAAGUUGGAAGAAGAUGAAUCAUACCACUUUUAAGCUCAAACCUGUCAACUGUGAGUUGAGGAUAGACGAUGCAUAAAGGUUGAUCGGUGACUUUGGGAAUGGAAAACUCACGCAGGGAUUUUCUUGGUUGGACAACAAGCACACCACCUCCUUCAUCAUUGUUGUUGUUCGAAAUCUCUACCAUGUUGCUUGAACCUUCAGAUUCGUAACUUUUAGAUUCAACGCUUGAAGAACUAUAGUUCUUCCUCAAACCAGCAUGCACAGCAGCGGUUCUUGGUGAAAGUGGCUCAGGUGAACUUUGCUCCUGGUCAGAUUCGGACAUGCACACACCAAGGAAGUCAAUUCAGUGCCUUCAAUGGAGAUAACAACAAAAUACAAAACUGAAUACUAAAAGAAAAACCAACGAAAAGAAACAAAUGAAAUAAACAAAAACAAAACAAUCAAAGUAAUCUAACUAUAGCACCAUCAUUACCGGUUCCCCGGCAACGGCGCCAAAAACUUGUUGAGCCUAUUGUUAACAACUAAAAUGAGUUAUUAAAAACAGCAACUUUAAUUCUCGCAAGUGCACGAACCGUUUAUAGUAUAGCUUAUGUAAAUACGAGGUCGAUCCCACGGAGAGUGGUAACUUGGUUCCAAGUUAAAUUACUUAGAAUGUUAGAAAAAUAUAGAACAAAGAAACUGACUAACUAGCUAAAGGCAUGGUCGAAUUCAACAAUGCCUCUUGCUAAUUACUCAAGGUCUAGGACAGAAUCCUAGCACCACACACGCACUCGAAAUGGGGGGUUUUGUUGUUGAAAUGAAAACAAGGAAGUGAAAUGAAAGUGCUCGAAAGUGAACACUGGUAGCAAUCAACAAGUUGUGAAACAAUGAUUGAGAGGUGUUAGAGCCUUGGAAUCCACCACUAGUUUUCCUAUCCAAGUUAUGAAUGCAUAGAAAUUGACUCAAGCUUCAUUAGCAAUAGAUUAUCGCAUACAAGCCUAUGGUAUCUAGGUGCAGGAUGCAUGAUUCUCCUAAGGCAUGUGAUUAUGCAUGGUAUCUACACAACACGUGAUCUCUAAUAUGCAACCUAAGCAUGGUAUCUACUUAGAAUAAAGCAUACAAGAGUCAUUAAGCUCCUUGAGAAUAUGAUAAUCACACAAGUCCUAGAACAUGGUAUCUGUCCUAGUCAACCUAUGGUUAUUAACCCCUUGAAUGAUUCUUAGGCCAUUCAUGUGUUGCUUGUGAAAGGAGAGUAGAAUAGGUGAAUCUAAACCCCUUCCCAACCUAUGCUAGAUGCAUAAAAUCCUAGUUAGCUACUCCAAGAGAACAUACAUCAAGCACAUAAUAAACUAGAGAUUAACAACUUGAUAAUAAAAGCAAGGAAAUCAAUUAACUAUAAAAUCAUCCAUAACAUUGAAUAUUCAUGACUAGGGCUUCAUCCUAAGCCCUAACUAAAUGGAUUAGUUAGACAUAACUAUGAAUACAGAAAAUAAGAAAUACAUAGAUAGGAUAAAGAGACGAGAAGAACUAGAUGAUGGGAGCAAGGAAGUUCCCAGGACAGCUCCAAGCUCCCUUCUCUCUUUGUGGUGAAUCUGAAUGUGUGUAUGAAAGUAAUGGAUGAAAUGAAUGUGUGUGUCUGCCCUCUCUCCCCUUGAAUGAGUGUGCAACUCUCUAUUUAUAGAGUGCAAUUUCGUGCUCCCCUUUGGCUGGUGAAGCACACCUCUCUUAGCUGCUGCCAACUGCUCUAGCUGCCCAUACAUGCCUGUUGCUCCAGCUGCCCAUACUUGCCUGUUGGACUUUUCUUGGUUUUUGAGUUCCCAUACUGAUUUGUCUCCCAUGUGUGGCUGCUCUAAUGUGUAGCACAUGGCUCUAGGGAUGUAGCCACAUUAAAUAUGAUGGCAGCCAACACGAUAUUUCUGUGAACUUGGUUCAGUCUUUGACGUGUUGAGGGCUCCAGUUUUAUCCAAUUGGGCUGAAAUUUGGAUAUGUUAUAAUAGACACCCAUUGGAACAACGUCUAUGAAGGAUGUCUCCUCAUCCGACCUGUGUAAGUUACUGAAAUGAGGCCUGCAAGAUGACCUACGAAACUGGACUGACAAGGAGUGUGGCACAAAUUGGUUUUGUCUUUAAGCUCAUAUUCCUCUUGUGCCACUCAGCCCUUAACAUGCAUGAAUUGUAUCAAAUGUCAUCCCCUUGCUAUCUUAACCUACAAAGCACACAAACAUAGGUAAGAGACUCAAAAUAAAGAGAAGCUAACAAAAUUACUAAGGAAAGAAGGCAUGCAAAUGUGUGAAAUUAUGAACUUAUCAAAUACCCCCAAACUUAGAUUUUGCUAGUCCUCGAGCAAAACAAAAUAAAACUACAACUUAGGAAACAGGAAAUAAGCAACUAGCCUUCCAAACAAUAUCCUCAAAGAAUCAUCAGUGUAAAUGGUUCGAAAGAAACACAACAAUCACAAUCUAAGUUCCACACAUGAUUCACGAGAAAGCAAAGCUAGCAUUGACACCCUUAAGUGUAGUGUGUGAAUGCCAAAUCCGAACAACACCUGCAUCUCAAAUAAGUACAUGUGCACACACUUAGAGCAAAAUCAAGAAUGCCGAACCCCAUAAGCUCAUUAUUCAAUCUGCUCUCCAUAGUAAUACCAUGCAACACCAAGGAUCAAAAGGAGUUUACAAGGGUAGUAAUGAGGUUUAGGGUAGUGGUUGAAUGAAAGAAGGGAUAUGAGAUAUACAAUAUUUUGAGCACACUUAAAGCACAGGUAAGAGCAUAAGAGAGUACUGAACUUUGUAACAAGCAAGGAACACAUACAUGAGCAGAUUUUCAACAUAAUUUCAGCACCUUGAAAUGUGUUUAUUUGGCCUAAUUUUGUGGCUCUUACCCUAGAUCACAUUGAAAUGUGNNNNNNNNNNNNNNNNNNNNNNNNNNNNNNNNNNNNNNNNNNNNNNNNNNNNNNNNNNNNNNNNNNNNNNNNNNNNNNNNNNNNNNNNNNNNNNNNNNNNNNNNNNNNNNCUCCUCGCUCAUUGCGACAGUAGUGUAUUUCAACACUUGGGUUACGGCACCAAUUAUUCACUUUUGCUCAAUAAACCUUGCAUUCUUUAUAACUCUCUUUUGAAGAUAACUUUAAUUGCUCAUACAAUAAGUAAGGAUAAGAAAACAGAGGCUCAUUAUGGUAGGAUUCGUUUACACAAAGAAAGGCUUAACAUAGGCUCAAAUGGGAUGACUAGGGAUGAAUACAUGUAGAGGGAUGGUUAGAAAGGCUCAAACGGUUCAAACAUGGCCUAAAUCACUUCCUAAGCAUUGUAUGGCAACAAAAUGUCUCAAGAAAUAUUCAAAUAAGUUCUAGAGUACGAAACCAAGAUCAUGAGAUAAGU
rnacentral:lncRNA from 1 species